CUCCUUGAAUAUAGAGACAAUCUCUUAAUCAUUUUUAAUUCCUCCAAUUACUGGCACAUCUAAAUCACAACCAGUGAGCAUUCACGACAUUGUCUCAGACAUAUCCUCAGUCAUCUAAGCACCUACUGGUCUUAGUAUUAAUGUAUAUCUGUGAGUAGAGGUCAUUUACAAUUAUGAAUUCCAAUAAUUUAUGAACAGGUAAGUAGUUACAAACCUGAGGUUCUGCCACUUACUAGCUGGGUACCUGUAGGCUGAAGGGGCGGACCUACGCCGGCCGACCACGCCUCCUCCCCUUGAGUAACAGGACUCCAACCCUUCCCCAGCCAAUCGGCCAAGGCCACGACCCUUCCCCAGCCAAUCGGCUGAGGCCACAGCCAUUACCUCACCAACUGCCCCUAGACCCCAAUAAAACCUUUGUGCUUUUGAAACUCGCUCUCUCUCCCUGGUAUCUCACCGCUGCGUCGGUACAGUGACUGAAAGCAUCUCGUGGAUUUUGUUGUUAAAAGCAAUCACACUUUCUGCAAGACUUGCUUCCUUCUCCACAUCUCUUUAAUUCCAAUUUUCUACAUCAGGUCUGAUACCAUCUGGAACAGAGGAUGAAUUGAAUUCUGCGAACCUUUAAAUUAGCUUGGUAUUUCUAAAAACUAAGAGGAAAAGUUUUUACAUUCUUCAAGGUUGCAAGAAAGAAUAAUAAAAUGUUUCUCUUACACGGCAGACCGAGAAUUGUCAACUAAGAUGCAAUUGCAAUAAUUAUUACUGAUGAGGAUGCAAAACACAGAAAUAGCAUUACUUGCUGACAGAUCACAGGGCUAGUGUGGGUUACUAGAAGCAACAAAAAUUACAUUUCCCCUUGAAUAGAAAAUAAACUUUCUAUGGAAAUCUCUGAGAAA